rnacentral:lncRNA from 1 species
CUGCUGCUGCUCCUGCUGCCUCUGGGUAACCAUAAUCCUAAUCAUCCUCAUCCUCCUUGUAGCCAUCGCCGGCGGCAUCCUCUACGUCCUUUACCGCCCCCACCGCCCUUCUUUCUCCGUUUCCUCGCUCAAAAUUCAAACCCUAAACCUCACUUCAUCACAAACCCUAGUCACAAACAUCAACCUCAACGUCAUCACCAGAAACCCUAACAAAGAACUCGUGUUUUACUACGACCCCAUUACGAUAACAGUCACGAGUGGCGACAAUGAUGACGUCAACGUCGGGGCUGGUUCGUUUCCUUCGUUUAGGCACGGGACCAAGAACACUACUG